rnacentral:rRNA from 1 species
GACGAACGCUGGCGGCGUGCUUAACACAUGCAAGUCGAACGGAAAGGCCCCCACUUUUUUGGUGGGGGUGCUCGAGUGGCGAACGGGUGAGUAACACGUGGGUGAUCUGCCCUGUACUUCGGGAUAAGCUUGGGAAACUGGGUCUAAUACCGGAUAGGACCAUGGUUUAGUGUCUCAUGGUGGAAAAAUUAUUGUUUUGGUGCAGGAUGAGCUCGCGGCCUAUCAGCUUGUUGGGGGGGUAAUGGCCUACCAAGGCGUCGACGGGUAGCCGGCCUGGGAGGGUGGACGGCCACAUUGGGACUGAGAGACGGCCCAGACUCCGACGGGAGGCAGCAGUGGGGAAUAUUGCACAAUGGGCGCAAGCCUGAUGCAGCGACGCCGCGUGGGGGAUGACGGCCGUCGGGUUGUAAACUCCUUUCGUUAGGGACGAAGCCGCACCUUUUUUGGGUGUGGUGACGGUACCUUUGUGAAGAAGCACCGGCUAACUACGUG